GUUGAUAUGGCUCAGUAGUAGAGCGCUCGCCUAGCAUGUGCGAAGUCCUGGGUUCAAUCCUCAGCACCACA
rnacentral:tRNA from 1 species